rnacentral:rRNA from 1 species
UACGUAGGGUGCAAGCGUUAAUCGGAAUUACUGGGCGUAAAGCGUGCGCAGGCGGCUUUGCAAGACAGAUGUGAAAUCCCCGGGCUUAACCUGGGAACUGCAUUUGUGACUGCAGGGCUGGAGUGCGGCAGAGGGGGAUGGAAUUCCGCGUGUAGCAGUGAAAUGCGUAGAUAUGCGGAGGAACACCGAUGGCGAAGGCAAUCCCCUGGGCCUGCACUGACGCUCAUGCACGAAAGCGUGGGGAGCAAACGGG